GUGUCUGCUAGGUUGUAUGGGACGAGUUGAUUAUAUAUGUAACAAGUUGGGCAUGAUUAACAUUUAUGCUCCAACUUGAGGGGAGUGUUAUAGAUUAUAGGAAGUAAAUAUAUUAAUAUAGGAAGUAAAUAUUGAUAGAUGAGUUAGUUGCUUAAUCUUAGGGAUUUUAUAAUCAUAGACUUGAUUUUCCUUCCUGUUUAGAUAUCGUCUU
rnacentral:lncRNA from 1 species